rnacentral:rRNA from 1 species
AGAGUUUGAUCCUGGCUCAGGACGAACGCUGGCGGCGUGCUUCAUACAUGCAAGUCGAACGAGAAAUUAGAGCUUGCUCUAAUGGAAAGUGGCGGACGGGUGAGUAAUAUGUAGGAAAUCUGCCCUAGAGAGGGGGACAACAGUUGGAAACGAUUGCUAAUACCCCAUAUGAGCGUACCUGAAAUGGUAUUCUUGAAAACUCCGGUGCUCUAGGAUGAGCCUGCAUCUGAUUAGCUAGUUGGUGGUGUAAUGGACUACCAAGGCGACGAUCAGUAGCUGGUUUGAGAGGAUGAUCAGCCACAAUGGGACUGAGACACGGCCCAUACUCCUACGGGAGGCAGCAGUAGGGAAUUUUGCGCAAUGGGGGAAACCCUGACGCAGCAACGCCGCGUGAUUGAUUAAGCCCUUCGGGGUGUAAAGAUCUGUCAGUGGGGACGAAACUUGACGGUACCCACAGAGGAAGCACCGGCUAACUCCGUGCCAGCAGCCGCGGUAAUACGGAGGGUGCAAGCGUUGUCCGGAAUCAUUGGGCGUAAAGAGUUCGUAGGCGGUUUGUUAAGUCUGGUGUUAAAGCCCGAAGCUCAACUUCGGUUCGGCAUUGGAUACUGGCAGACUAGAAUGCGGUAGAGGUAAAGGGAAUUCCUGGUGUAGCGGUGAAAUGCGUAGAUAUCAGGAGGAACAUCGGUGGCGUAAGCGCUUUACUGGGCCGUAAUUGACACUGAGGAACGAAAGCCAGGGUAGCAAAUGGGAUUAGAUACCCCAGUAGUCCUGGCCGUAAACGAUGGAUACUAGGUGUUGCGGGUAUCGACCCCUGCAGUGCCGUAGCUAACGCGAUAAGUAUCCCGCCUGGGGAGUACGCACGCAAGUGUGAAACUCAAAGGAAUUGACGGGGACCCGCACAAGCGGUGGAACAUGUGGUUUAAUUCGAAGCAACGCGAAGAACCUUACCAAGACUUGACAUCUAGAGAACCUCUGAGAAACCAGAGGGUGCUCUUCGGAGAACUCUAAGACAGGUGGUGCACGGUUGUCGUCAGCUCGUGUCGUGAGAUGUUGGGUUAAGUCCCGCAACGAGCGCAA